UACGGGGGGAGCAAGCGUUGUUCGGAAUUACUGGGCGUAAAGGGCGUGUAGGCGGUUGUGUAAGUCGGGGGUGAAAUGCACCGGCUCAACCGGUUGAAUUGCCUCCGAAACUGCACGGCUCGAGUACGGAAGAGGAAAGCGGAAUUCCCGGUGUAGCGGUGAAAUGCGUAGAUAUCGGGAAGAACAUCGGUGGCGAAGGCGGCUUUCUGGUCCAGUACUGACGCUAAAGCGCGAAAGCCAGGGGA
rnacentral:rRNA from 1 species